rnacentral:rRNA from 1 species
UACGGGGGGGGCAAGCGCUGUUCGGAAUUACUGGGCGUAAAGCGUGCGCAGGCGGUUUCGUAAGUCUGUCGUGAAAUCCCCGGGCUUAACCUGGGAAUGGCGAUGGAGACUGCGAGGCUAGAGUUUGGCAGAGGGGGGUAGAAUUCCACGUGUAGCAGUGAAAUGCGUAGAGAUGUGGAGGAACACCGAUGGCGAAGGCAGCCCCCUGGGUCAAAACUGACGCUCAUGCACGAAAGCGUGGGGAGCAAACAGG